rnacentral:rRNA from 1 species
CUACCAUGCAAGUCGAGCGGAUGACAGGAGCUUGCUCCUGAAUUCAGCGGCGGACGGGUGAGUAAUGCCUAGGAAUCUGCCUGGUAGUGGGGGACAACGUUUCGAAAGGAACGCUAAUACCGCAUACGUCCUACGGGAGAAAGCAGGGGACCUUCGGGCCUUGCGCUAUCAGAUGAGCCUAGGUCGGAUUAGCUAGUUGGUGAGGUAAUGGCUCACCAAGGCGACGAUCCGUAACUGGUCUGAGAGGAUGAUCAGUCACACUGGAACUGAGACACGGUCCAGACUCCUACGGGAGGCAGCAGUGGGGAAUAUUGGACAAUGGGCGAAAGCCUGAUCCAGCCAUGCCGCGUGUGUGAAGAAGGUCUUCGGAUUGUAAAGCACUUUAAGUUGGGAGGAAGGGCAUUAACCUAAUACGUUAGUGUUUUGACGUUACCGACAGAAUAAGCACCGGCUAACUCUGUGCCAGCAGCCGCGGUAAUACAGAGGGUGCAAGCGUUAAUCGGAAUUACUGGGCGUAAAGCGCGCGUAGGUGGUUUGUUAAGUUGGAUGUGAAAUCCCCGGGCUCAACCUGGGAACUGCAUUCAAAACUGACAAGCUAGAGUAUGGUAGAGGGUGGUGGAAUUUCCUGUGUAGCGGUGAAAUGCGUAGAUAUAGGAAGGAACACCAGUGGCGAAGGCGACCACC